UAGAACUAGAGAACCUCCUCAAUCUGGUAAACAAAAUGUAUCAAAAAUUUGAAACAAGCUGCAUAGUAACUUUUAAGAGUUGAUAUAAAGAUUAAAUGAGAUUAUCAUUUAAAACAUUUAGCUCAGUGCCUGACAUGUUCUUGGAGGCCAGGCAAUUUUCUCUUUUUUCAAUGUGCUUAGAAGUUGUCCCAAGAAAUACAUUUUGGUUUUCAGUUAAAAGUCUCUUAUUUUCAUUGUUUUCUGAAUUCAGAAAUCUUGGGGUUGGUCUUCAAGACACAAAGUUGCAUGGUCUCACUGUGCUGCAGUCCUGCAAAAGAGUGACAGGACACGGGACAACUGAAACUGUCGUAUAUUGCUUUUCGAAUGCUGAUUGGAGGUUGAGGUAGGAGGAUUGCUUGAGCCCAGGAGGCAGACGCUGCAGUGAGCUGAGAUCCUGCCUUGGGAAAUUAUUAGAUAAUUUAAAUUGAGAGGUAAUAAACAUACAUGUGCAUGUGUCUUUAUAGCAGCAUGAUUUAUAAUCCUUUGGGUAUAUACCCAGUAAUGGGAUGGCUAGGUCAAAUGGUAUUUCUAGUUCUAGAUCCUUGAGGAAUCACCACACUGUCUUCCACAAUGGUUGAACUAGUUUACAGUCCCACCAACAGUGUA
rnacentral:lncRNA from 1 species